ensembl:lncRNA
AUGUGGACAGUCUGGGACAAACUCCUCCUGUUCCUUGAAGCCUAUUAGAAGCAGCUCUGCCACAACCUUUGGAGAUCAGGUCUCUGGGAGUCCCGUAGAUGACAAAAAGAGAACUCCUCAAGCAAUGGAAUUUCUUGAAUGUCAUCAAAAGAAGUCAGACCCAGAUGUGGAUUGUUCCUGCUUGAUAUGCCAGGAGUGAAGCUAGCUUUCUGUAGUUUCCCAUGCUGUGAGCCAGAAGCUGCCGUCUUCAGUGAACUCAUCAUUAGCAGGAUGAGAAUGAUACGGGACAAGUCUCUGACCCUGUUUCUGCCACGGAAAAGCUGAAGUAAUUCUGACUGUUGGGAUGUUUCGCCAUGGCAGAGGAUUUUUCAGCAGUUUCAGCAAAAUAAAUAUAAGGCAUGGAAUCUUGAACAGAUAUGGUUUUCUUCAGGAUAUGUGCCAGAAAUUUGAGUUAAUGGGUAGCAACAACAGAAAGAAAUUAAAAUUCUAUCUUAAAUGGUGGACAAAAUGCUUUAAAUAUGUGUUAAGACCCAUUUUUCGUUUACUUUAUGUAAGACUUAUGCAAGUUCUCCAAUCUAUUUUCCAAGAUAAAUGUAUACCAGACAAAUCUGGUUUUUAAAUCUUCUGCAGUUAUCAUGAAGAAGCAAAUAAUGACAUCAGGCUUAAAAAUAUCUGCCUAGAUUAUCAGCUGAGAAACAUCAUGCUAAAACCAAAAUUUUGCCCACCAAGUUUGAGAAUUUUGGUAAUUUGUAAUUGCAAAUAACCCAGCCACACUAGUUUGGGCUCUCAAUAUUUUUAGCAUUAUAACUGGAUACGCACAACAAGUCAGU